UAAACUAGGAUUAGAUACCCUAUUAUUUUAAAAGUAAAUUUUUGCCUAGGUAAUAAUAGUUUUGUUCUUUAAACCUAAAGAAUUUGGCGGUGCUUUAAGUCCUUUCAGAGGAACUUGUCCUGUAAUCGAUAGUCCUCGUUUUAUCUUGCUUUGAUUUAUUUAGUAUGUAUACCGCCGUUAUAAGUUUAUUUUAAAAGAAUUUAUUUACUGGUUAAUUCAAUAAUUUUUAUUUCAGGUCAAGGUGCAGCUUAUGUCUUAGUAGUGGUGAGUUACAAUAUUUUUAGUAUAUGGAUAUAUUUUAUAAUAUUAUUGAAGGUGGAUUUGUUAGUAAUUUUUAAUAUAAUGUAGUUUUGAUUUUGGCUCUAAAGUGAGUACACAUCG
rnacentral:rRNA from 1 species